GAUUACCCAAUAAAUAAAAUUAUUGGGUGGUUGUGAUCUCAAUAACCAUCAAAACGGUAUUUCCUGUUUCUGAGAGACCUGCAUUGAUUAGUCAGGGUUCACAAGGAAGGAGAAAUAGAAAAGGAGACAACGUAGAAGACAAAGAGUCUCCUAGGAGGUGCAACUGCAUGUCCUGA
rnacentral:lncRNA from 12 species